UCAAACACCAUAACAAAUUAUCAUCAUCAUCAUCAUCCAGUUUUCUGUUCCAAUUACUGCAGUAAUGUUGUGUAAUUGCUUCAGCAACCAGACACACCCGUAGGCAACUAUGAUAACCAAUUAUGUUACCGUUUCAAUUUGGUU